AAAAGAUCCAAUAUCAGUCAGAUAACUUGAGUUAGACCUGAUAAAUAGUAGGCCAACUCUCCCAGUUACCUGCCCUAAGCAUUAGUAUACUCAGUGACUACUACUGGGUGUACAAGUGUUGUUGUGAAUGAAGACUGUAGAAACAGUUCAGCUGUUUGACCUUUUAUAGAAACAGACAGCUAAAACUGUGCCCUAUGGUCCUCAGUGUGUGCAUCUAUACCCAGGCUGGCAUCACCUUCGUGUGACUUCUGUGGCUACAUCGUGGUACCCAGAAAUGGUUAUGCUGACUGAAUGUACACUUAAAACAAUGAUAAAAUAACUUGUUCUUGUGAUCCAAAUGUACAUUAGUCUAUAUCUCUGUAUCUGAAGGUGAACUGUAGCCUGGAGCUUCCAUUUGUUAGCAAAGGAGCCACCUCCACUAGUGUUUAAUGGGUUGGGACAAGCUCUUAUAAUGCAGUCGCCUUAGGCCAUUGCUUCCCAUGCUGCUGCUCCCUCUGCUUGAACAUAAUCUUAACACCUUUUGCAGCUGGUGACAUUACUUAUAUUUGGAUAUGUUGAGAGGAAAUUUCCUGUAUUAAGUGAAAAUAAAUCUGGACAGGAAUCCUAGAUAGGGAAAAUAACUGUGGAAAAGUUGGAUUGUGAAAGCCUCUUUCAUUUUUCUUAAGUUGACAGCAUAAUCUUAAGCUCCAAGAAAAAAUGAUGACACUGCUAGAAAACAUCACAGAUAGUCUUAUAAAGCAGAAUGGGAAACAUAAGGCCAGCAAUAUUGUAAUAGAAGAAUUCAAGUCUCACACGAGAUAAUGUUGCACUACUUGAGCUGGCCUGACUUGUAUUAUUGCUCAAAGAAACAAAGAUCAACUGUUUAAUAGGCAAUGAAUGUUUGACAUUCCCUGUAUUCAUUUUAUAGUUUAUGUAUGGAGGAGAUAUUUCGACUAAUAUAUGUUUUCUUGCACCAAAGUUUUUCUUUUAUUAGAUACCUUUAGUAUAAUUUAUUUGCACAGAUUUUCCAUGUCCU
rnacentral:lncRNA from 1 species